UACGAAGGGGGCUAGCGUUGUUCGGAAUCACUGGGCGUAAAGCGCACGUAGGCGGAUUUUUAAGUCAGGGGUGAAAUCCCGAGGCUCAACCUCGGAACUGCCUUUGAUACUGGGGAUCUGGAGUCCGGGAGAGGUGAGCGGAACUGCGAGUGUAGAGGUGAAAUUCGUAGAUAUUCGCAAGAACACCAGUGGCGAAGGCGGCUCACUGGCCCGGUACUGACGCUGAGGUGCGAAAGCGUGGGGAGCAAACAGG
rnacentral:rRNA from 1 species